rnacentral:piRNA from 1 species
AAACUAGACAUCUUUGAGGUGAGCCU